UAAUAAGUGUUUUAUGGCACUUUUUAAAUCCAUAUCCACCUUGUGUGCAAUGUCAGUCGAUCUUCUUCAUGGAGAUCGACCAAACAUCAACCUUUAUUUUUUAGCUCUUUGUCUGAAAAAUAUUAUGAAUAAACAAUUCAAAUUA
rnacentral:misc_RNA from 1 species